AGCCCAGUGGUGUAUAACAUAUCAAAUUGCAAAUUUGAAGAUGCGGGUAAUUCCUUGCCUGGGCUU
rnacentral:tRNA from 1 species